rnacentral:pre_miRNA from 14 species
UUUCGGGGUUCCGGGGGGGUCACGCUCCGAUCCCGGACGAGCCCCCAAAUGAAAGAGCGUACCCCUGAACGGGGAGCCGCGUCUCUCGCUCCGAUCGCGGGGUGGGGUGCCCCCAGGAAUCACGAGUAGCCAU